UUUCCGUAGGUGAACCUGCGGAAGGAUCAUUACUGAGUUUAUGCCCUCACGGGUCGAUCUCCCACCCUUAAAUCUCUCUACAUUAGUUGCUUUGGCUACCCGUAGAGACAGCAUCGGCUCCGGCUUUGGCGGGCCUGCCGGAGAAAACAAACUCUGUUAGUAGUGAUAUCUGAGUACUAUACAAUAAUUAAAACUUUCAACAACGGAUCUCUUGGUUCUG
rnacentral:misc_RNA from 1 species